UACGUAGGGGGCAAGCGUUGUCCGGAUUUAUUGGGCGUAAAGAGCGUGUAGGCGGCCUGACAGGUCUGCUGUGAAAACUCGAGGCUCAACCUCGAGAUGUCGGCGGAAACCGUCUGGCUAGAGUCCGGAAGAGGAGAGUGGAAUUCAUGGUGUAGCAGUGAAAUGCGUAGAGAUCAUGAGGAAGACCAGUGGCGAAGGCGGGUCUCUGGACAGUUACUGACACUGAGGAACGAAGGCCAGGGGAGCAAACGGG
rnacentral:rRNA from 1 species